GAUGGGCAAGAUAUCAUUCAAAUAUAUGAUGCCUGGUUAAACAAAAUGACAUUGUACAUUUCACAUAUAUUAUGGCUGGCUAAAAGACAUGAGACUGCAUAAUUCUCAUAUUUAAAACUAUAAAAAGGCUGGGCAACUCGCUCCCAGGAUGCUCCCCGAUCGCGUCCUUCGUUCAUCGUCCGAUUCUGGUCAACGUGGUCAUUUUUUAGCUUCGGGCCAUUGGAUGUUCAAUGGGAAUUGACCUGUGUCGUUUUCACCGCGUGGUAGAUCUUGGACAGGGAAUGACCUGUGGGAUCGGGCUGGAUCCGAUUGGCUGGGUGAAACUAUCCUGGGUGUCCGUGCGCCUCUCCACACGCGCUGCGUCGUCCGCGUCGUGUGGCGUGGGCGAGCCGCAGAGGGCUGGCCAGCGCUUAUGCACCCGAUUUCUCUGCCCAUGUCUUUGCUACGCCGAUGAUGGGUGGGCCGUUGUUGUCUUUGGUCCCGCUCGUCGGUUACACUGGGCGUCCGUCCCGUGGUGUAGGGUGUAGGCUAGAGUUUUCUAGGGUCAACCGCUCUUGGCGGGACGCUCCUGGCGCACUGCGCGCGUUGUGCGUUGUGGGCAGCAGCUGCGGAGGGGCCGGUCGGUGCUUGUGCACCCGGCUUGUGCGCCCACCUUUGGCCUGCCGUAAUGACGGGUGGGCCAGCACUGCUUCUGGUCCCGCUUGUCAGCUUCACUGGGUACGUGUCUCGUCGUCUCGUUGGCUGGGUCGGUCGUUCCCGCGUGAGGAGGUUUUGGCAAUCAACUCCGCGCGGCACGCGACGUGGGGCCUGUGCCAGGUCGUGGGCACUGGUUUUUCGUGUGGCCGUUCAUUUUGCUUGCGUUCAAUGACCAAUGGGCCUUAUACUGCUGGUCCCAUGCGUAAGCCUAAUGGUCUGUCUCCUUCCAUGCACAUCUCUUCACGCGGCAGGGUGAAAGCAACCCUAGAGCCCUCCUCAUUCCAUCCACUCCCCAAUGCCUCCUCCUCAUCCCCAGCCGGUGGCUCAACCUCUCGUGCCCUCGCCGCCAUCAACCUCUCGUGCACUCACACGCCAGCCGCCGAUAUCCCGCGCCCUCACCCGCCAGUAGCCGAAGUCGCUCUCCCCCGCAGGCCGCCGUGCUCGGGAUUUAUGGCUGCUCCUUCGCCUCGCCCAUGUAGAUCCGCCAUUGCCUCCCUCCCUUGUUGAUGUUCAUCUUAUCUAUUUAUGCAGGGGGCUCGUCCUUCCGUGGUGCUCAGCCACCAUCCGGUUUGGAGGGGGAAUAGGAGACUCCCAACGAAAACGAGUGUGCUAGCGGUGGACCCAAGGAUGCGUGGUGAUUGUGCCAGGUCCAUGCUCCAGUUCUUCUGUUGGAACUACGAGAGUGCAGCUAAAUAAGAGUUGUUGGCAGUAGCAACCUACACAUGUGGAUACAGUGGUUAUGGCGGCUCAAAGGGAAGUUUUGUCUGCCAGACAACAACUCACAACUUAGUGGCGGCUCAAUGUACAUAUGAUCUAUUUCUUCUUGGAGAUAUCUACUAUCAUAUUAUGACUUGGUGCUAUCUGAACCUUCUAUUUUCUCACCUUUUUUGGCGGCAAUUAUCCCUUAGACUGCAAUAGUUUUUAUAGGUGCCAUUGUAAGUGUAGGUUUUCUACAGUUAAGCCUCUUGCAUUGCAAAAAGCUACAUUCCAUUGUUUUUCUACGUGCCAUUGUAAGUGCAGGUUUUCUACUAGCUUCAACAUAGAUAAUUAGCAUGAGAGAGGCUUAACUGUAGCUUUUUGCAAUGCUAGAAGGACAUAUUCAGUACUGAAAAUCUAGACUGUUCUUUCCACUCUGUAACAACUUCUAUGCUUGCGCUACCAUGAUAUCACUACAACAUUUCCCUAUAAAAUUUUAGUAGUUGCAUGUAAACUGAAUUGAUUUACCAGUAAAAAUCUGGACAACUCAUUCCAGUCGAUAAUAACCAUUGUGGCAUUACCAUGAUAUGUCAUGUAUUUGCUCCGAGUCGUAGUAUGUUGCAGAAAGUAUAAUAAGAGAUAGAAUGUAUGCACUAUGGCGAAUGUAUGCAUUAUGGCUAGCAGUAACAUUUUUUUGACUUGCGCAGCAUUUGAUCUAUCUAUUUCUGCAGGCUAUUUCUCAUGUUGCAACCUUUUCCCGUAGAAUCAAAACGAGUUAGAUGGAAGAAAUUGCAGGAGCUUGCUAUUAUUAGAGAAGGAAUGGUAUUCCCGGCGUGACAUUCAAAAGCAGUCAAGAUGGUGAGGUUUAGAACGGAGGAGCUCCGCGGAAUUAUGGAUAGAAAAUAUCCAUAACAUGUCUGUCAUUGCCAUGUUGACCGCGGUAUGUGACCAAGCAGUGACAGCUGUCUCUAAUUAUCAAUUUUAUACAGUAGAAUCUUCUUGAUUGAUGAUUUUGUAGUCUUCUCUUAGUUGUACUAUAUUAAUUCUUAAAACUAGAUCAUUUAAAAUUAGUUAGAUUUAAUGAGUUGUUUCACUGUUUUCAAAUAAGUAGUUUAAGCCCUUAUUGUGUUCUGGAGCAUAUUCUUUCUGCCUUUUUAUGAUUGAUUUAUGCUCUCAAAAGCUUAAUUGUAACUAUCGGCGUAUAAUCUCAUGGCUCAAAAUCUUAAUUGUUGAAUGUAUUAAAAUUUAUGAUCUGGAGUUUGCACUAUAUUUCAUACAGCGGUAUUCCCAGUAACUGAAUGUUAAGAGAACUGACGAUCCCAGGUUGUACAUUCAGUUACUGGGAAAUGCUUUUAUCUUGUAGGCUAGUUUGACACUUACUUUUUCAAUAAUGAGAUGACCAUGAGCAGUGUAUCAAGGUCUUUUAAAUACUAACGUUGUGUUAAGAUUAGUAAAAGAAGGAUUGAUAGCGGCAUACCUUAACUCGACUGAUUCUUUAAUUGCUGCCUCUCUAAGCCUUGAUUAGCCAUGGAGAUACUGAAGUUCCAAAGCCACAAGUUAGGCCAUCCUUCUAAGAUCCGUUCAUCCCAGUUCAUUAAUUUGUUUGAAAUAUAUAUUUAUAUUCCAAAAUUGCUCAAUCUCCAGCAGGCCUCAAGGUUAUCAGAUGAAAUCCGGUUAAAUUUUCCUCUAGACUUAGUUGAAAGUAUUCCUUUUGUUAUCCAGUUUUUUGCUACGCAUGUUACCUUUGUCGCUGAAUAUUGCCUACAGUUUAUAUAUAGUAGACUCACAUGAUUACCUGAUGACUCGUUCACGCAAGAACUAUUGUCAAUUUUUUCCUUUUCUGCAAUGAUGGUCGUAGCCCUUUGAUUCUACAAGCCGCAAAGGAGCAAAGUGUAGAAAAAUAUGUCCAUUGUUGUUGAAUUGGUGGGAUUGUCACCAAGUUAGUGCUGCAGAUUGUUUCUAUUUUAGAGGAAGAAGCCAAAUCAUGUUGUUCAUUGUAAAUCUUGAAAAACUUGUUUAUUGUCACUUUUAUAUCUGUUAUAAACUUUUGUUCAUGAUGUGGUACUUGUCAA